rnacentral:rRNA from 1 species
UACAGAGGGGGCAAGCGUUGUUCGGAAUUACUGGGCGUAAAGGGCGCGUAGGCGGCCGCCUAAGUCAGACGUGAAAUCCCUCGGCUCAACCGGGGAACUGCGUCUGAUACUGGGUGGCUUGAAUCCGGGAGAGGGAUGCGGAAUUCCAGGUGUAGCGGUGAAAUGCGUAGAUAUCUGGAGGAACACCGGUGGCGAAGGCGGCAUCCUGGACCGGUAUUGACGCUGAGACGCGAAAGCGUGGGGAGCAAACAGG